GUCAGGCCUAACACAUGCAAGUCGAACGGUAACAGGAAGAAGCUUGCUUCUUUGCUGACGAGUGGCGGACGGGUGAGUAAUGUCUGGGAAACUGCCUGAUGGAGGGGGAUAACUACUGGAAACGGUAGCUAAUACCGCAUAACGUCGCAAGACCAAAGAGGGGGACCUUCGGGCCUCUUGCCAUCGGAUGUGCCCAGAUGGGAUUAGCUAGUAGGUGGGGUAACGGCUCACCUAGGCGACGAUCCCUAGCUGGUCUGAGAGGAUGACCAGCCACACUGGAACUGAGACACGGUCCAGACUCCUACGGGAGGCAGCAGUGGGGAAUAUUGCACAAUGGGCGCAAGCCUGAUGCAGCCAUGCCGCGUGUAUGAAGAAGGCCUUCGGGUUGUAAAUACUUUCAGCGGUGAGCGAGGCCAGACAGGGGGGAUCUGGGCGUUCGGCGGUUUCCCGCGCUGGCGCGCCCCCCCAGGCACCUCCUUUUUCCUCAAUAGUGCGGAUGGUUACCGAAGGCGGUCGUUUUUACCGGAAACGCUAGACCCUGGGGGCGUUAUUGAUAUAUAGGAUGUAGUGUCGGUGUUUUUCCUCCCAGGCCAUUCCCCCCUAUUAAAAAGGAGGGCCCUCCCUCGGAACGCGCCCCAGGGCU
rnacentral:rRNA from 1 species